AGGAUAGUAGUUAAAUAUAACAUUUGGUUUGCAUCCAAAAAGUACUGUAUAGCAGUCCAUCUUA
rnacentral:tRNA from 1 species